AUUGAACGCUGGCGGUAGGCCUAACACAUGCAAGUCGAACGGCAGCACAGUAAGAGCUUGCUCUUACGGGUGGCGAGUGGCGGACGGGUGAGGAAUACAUCGGAAUCUACUUUUUCGUGGGGGAUAACGUAGGGAAACUUACGCUAAUACCGCAUACGACCUACGGGUGAAAGCAGGGGAUCUUCGGACCUUGCGCGAUUGAAUGAGCCGAUGUCGGAUUAGCUAGUUGGCGGGGCAAAGGCCCACCAAGGCGACGAUCCGUAGCUGGUCUGAGAGGAUGAUCAGCCACACUGGAACUGAGACACGGUCCAGACUCCUACGGGAGGCAGCAGUGGGGAAUAUUGGACAAUGGGCGCAAGCCUGAUCCAGCCAUACCGCGUGGGUGAAGAAGGCCUUCGGGUUGUAAAGCCCUUUUGUUGGGAAAGAAAAGCAGCAGGUUAAUACCCCGCUGUUCUGACGGUACCCAAAGAAUAAGCACCGGCUAACUUCGUG
rnacentral:rRNA from 1 species